rnacentral:rRNA from 1 species
GCGGAGGAAAAGAAACCAACAAGGGAUUGCCCUAGUAACGGCGAGUGAAGCGGCAACAGCUCAAAUUUGAAAGCUAGCCUUCGGGUUCGCAUUGUAAUUUGUAGAGGAUGAUUUGGGGAAGCCGCCUGUCUAAGUUCCUUGGAACAGGACGUCAUAGAGGGUGAGAAUCCCGUAUGUGACAGGAAAUGGCACCCUAUGUAAAUCUCCUUCGACGAGUCGAGUUGUUUGGGAAUGCAGCUCUAAAUGGGAGGUAAAUUUCUUCUAAAGCUAAAUAUUGGCGAGAGACCGAUAGCGCACAAGUAGAGUGAUCGAAAGAUGAAAAGCACUUUGGAAAGAGAGUUAAAAAGCACGUGAAAUUGUUGAAAGGGAAGCGCUUGCAAUCAGACUUGUUUAAACUGUUCGGCCGGUCUUCUGACCGGUUUACUCAGUUUGGACAGGCCAGCAUCAGUUUCGGCGGCCGGAUAAAGGCUCUGGGAAUGUGGCCUCCACUUCGGUGGAGGUGUUAUAGCCCAGGGUGUAAUACGGCCAGCCGGGACUGAGGUCCGCGCUUCGGCUAGGAUGCUGGCGUAAUGGUUGUAAGCGACCCGU